rnacentral:lncRNA from 1 species
GGCCUGAGAAACGCGAAGUUCAUCAAAAAGUCAGAUAAAAAAAUCAGAAGAACAAGAAACAGAUUUCUGAGCUUGCCUGACAUUUCUCCAUCCCUGGUUUGAUUUUUAUCGAUAAAAGUGAUUUUGAGCGUACUGGAGGAAAGCAAUGCAGAGUACUCUAUACCAGGCAUUGGUCCAUUUUGCACUAGACCUGAUCAAGUGAUAUCUUGGAUUGAUGUAAGAAAAUACAUCCUAACACAAGACUUGAGAUCUGAAGAAUCUUGUGAAAAAGUAAUGGAGAAGAGUAUCACUUAGUAGAUAAGCCAUUGUACUGUCCACAAACCAAUGGUUUAACAGAACAUUUUCGUUUGAAUGAUGCCGAGUUUGCUGACCUGAUCAAACUUGUAUUUCUCAGCCAGGGGUGUAUGCAGACAUCAGGAACAGUGGCGCAUCGAUUCCUGAGCCGGCGGACCGUAGAUCCGGAGUCCCGGCAGUUCAUCCGGGAGCGGUACCAGGACACGUCGGUUGUCAUCUUCAAGGAGCAGCAGAAGAAAUACCAGGAGGAGUACCAACGUCGUCCUCCCAAACCCCAGGACGAGACUGACAAAGCGGAACCGAAAAUGGUCAAGUACGGUCGGUACGGUAACGAGAGUAUCACUGUGAGUCAUGUUGGGCAGGAUGUGGUGAAAAGGGACAACCAUGUUGUGCAGUCUACUGUGUGUUCUGUCAUGUAGCAUCAUGGCAGUGGUAUCAAAUAAAAAUGUCUACCCAGGAGACAUGUUCUUCAGUGUCAUAGUAUUCAGAAUAAUGAAGUGCACAUCUUUCUUAGCUAUCUCAGUUGUAAUAUCCAUUCCCAAAUAUUCAACACCAACAAAGAAUUGGGUAAUAGUUGUUCUUUUCCAUUCCAAGAAGAUUUGAGAUAAAACAUUUGUAUUCAGCAGGGCUGCCCAAUAUUACAUGUGUAGGUAUUGGAUUUUCAUCACCUAAUGUUCACCUUUGAUAUCAUGAUCUGUUGGUGUUCAGGUUGAAGGAGGCACAGAAUUGAGGUCUAUCCAUUCCCAGACAAGCAAGAAAAAAAGAGGGGGGGGGGUUCUUGAACAAAUGAAGGAUACAAUUGCAAAUAAAGAGGUUCUGAACCACCCCACCCUAAAAGGAUAAAAUUUGAAGGAUAAAAAUGACAAAAUAGUGAGAGGCAAUGCUGACUUGCAGCAAAAGAUAGAGCAGAUUCCCCCUGUGCUUAUACUCGCACCCUUAACCACACCUACCCCUUAAUAACUCAUUAUUUUCAAAAGGCAUAUCCUACAGUGGUAACAUGUCAACAUUGACAGUUGGGAAAACCUAAAGAUUUAUAUUUGAAUCUGUAAUUGCAUCUUUCUAUGUGAUAAGUACUGGUACUUUUCAUGAAACCUUGCAUACCAUUAUAUCAGCUGGUAUGAUAUUUGGUAUCACCGCUACUUCAGGAAGUGAUGUAUUUAUUUGAAUUACUUGAAUCUUUCUUGUACUCUGGUAUCACGCUGAAUUUGAUGUGCAGGUGUAAUCUUUGUUUUAUUCAAAAGUAAAGUUAAAAAUUAGAUUAUUACAGAGAGAUAAGAUUUGUUUACUUAAAUUAGCCCAAUUGAUUGAUACAUUAGUUUACAUUCUGUUUUCCUAUCUUGAAUUGUUCAUGUAGUAUUGUUCCUUGACUGUUUAGCAAUUCCAUGAUAUUUUCAACUUUUUGUUAUGUGUGGAUGUUGAUUAAUAGGGUCAGCUUUGUGUGAUGAAAUAUGAAAUUAUUAAAUGCAACAUGAAGUAUUUCAUUUUCAUGGGUGGUUAAACAUUCUAAUACACACUGAGACAAAGCAGACUAAAUAAUAAAAAAUAAUAUAAACAUGGCAAUUGGCAAAUAUGUAGGGAAUCUUUUCUACAGGUACAAAACUACAAACAGAUUUUUACUGAGUAAUGUGUACUACUGUACUAGUAUGCAUACAAAUUAUGAUGUUUGAUACGGGAAUUUUUAUAAAACAAACAUUCAAUAAAUCAAAGAUUUGUUUUGUUGAGGGUUUUUUCCCCCUAGCUUUUUGUGCUUAAGAUGUCUAAUAUCAUUGUACAUGUACUUAUUUAAUUAUGUGCCCUGCUACAAUAAUGACUUUAAAAA